CCACACCAAAUCCAUCCAACCUCGUGAACUGUUUUAAAACCGUAUUGUUAUCCAUUUUGUAUUUCGUUUAGAGAUAUUUGAAUGAAUAACAAGACAUAUCAUAAAAUUUUUAUUUAAUAUAUCUGAAAUUAAAGUAAUAAAACUUAUUA
rnacentral:misc_RNA from 1 species